AACGCACAUUGCGCCCGCCAGUAUUCUAACGGGCAUGCCUGUUCGAGCGUCAUUUCAACCCUCAAGCACUGCUUGGUGUUGGGGCACUAUUUUUGUAUAGGCCCUGUAACAUAGUGGCGGAUCUGCUGUUAUCCUGAGCGUAGUAAUACACGUCGCUUUGGGCUUCCAGUAGGCUUCUGCCGUUAAACCCCCACUUUUUUUAAGGUUGACCUCGGAUCAGGUAGGAAUACCCGCUGAACUUAA
rnacentral:misc_RNA from 1 species